rnacentral:lncRNA from 10 species
GGAGGGGGCAGGGACGGGACGUGGGAAAAUGACUACGCGUCACUCGUGAUGUCGCGCAUCCGAUAGGCCCUUUUCAGAUGGCAAAAGGCCUGAGGGUGAAUCUGGGCGAGCUGGUUGAGUCCAUGCGUUUGUGCUUCCUCUCAGUCCACUUUCGCUUACGAUGGGGCGACUCUUGUCCAUCGUCACCUCACCGGGAAACUUUUCCUGCCGGGCCAGUUAAUGGUCCCCUGUACCAUCCCCAUCCUGAGUGACUACUAAGCAGCCGCAGCGACUCGGGGUUGCUCCGUGACCACGUUACUCAGUUAACCUUCUUGUUCCCUGGAGAGGCGGAGCUGAAUGGCCCGGGACGGGGUUUCUCCAUGUUUCCCAGGCUGGUCUCAAACUCCUGGACUCAAGCAAUCUGCCCACCUUGCCUCCCAAAAUGCUCCUCCAAAAAAGGAGUGUGCCGCCACACCCAGCCUGAGCAACUUUUGUUUUUAAGGUGUCAGCCAUCAGACCCCAAGUCUCCAGCUGUGUUGAGUUAUCUGCAGGCCCUGAUUGUGUGUGCCAAG